AUGGUAGGAUAGAGGCCUACCAUGGUUUUAACGGGUAACGGGGAAUUAGGGUUCGAUUCCGGAGAGGGAGCCUGAGAAACGGCUACCACAUCCAAGGAAGGCAGCAGGCGCGCAAAUUACCCAAUCCCGACACGGGGAGGUAGUGACAAUAAAUAACAAUAUGGGGCUCUUACGAGUCUUGUAAUUGGAAUGAGUACAAUUUAAAUCUCUUAACGAGGAACAAUUGGAGGGCAAGUCUGGCGCCAGCAGCCGCGGUAAUUCCAGCUCCAAUAGCGUAUAUUAAAGUUGUUGCAGUUAAAAAGCUCGUAGUUGAAUUUCGGGGUUUAUCCGUCGGUCGGGCUUUUGGGUCUGUACUGGCGUGAUGGAUUCCUACCUUCUGAAUAACCGGCAUGUCAUUAAUUUGGUGCGCCGGGGAAGCAGGACUGUUACCUUGAAAAAAUUAGAGUGCUUAAAGCAGGCUUAUGCCUGAAUACAUUAGCAUGGAAUAAUGAAAUAGGACGGCAUGGUUCUAUUUUGUUGGUUUCUAGGAUCACCGUAAUGAUUAAUAGGGAUAGUUGGGGGCAUUAGUAUUCAAUUGUUAGAGGUGAAAUUCUUGGAUUUAUUGAAGACUAACUUCUGCGAAAGCAUUUGCCAAGGAUGUUUUCAUUAAUCAAGAACGAAAGUUAGGGGAUCGAAGACGAUCAGAUACCGUCGUAGUCUUAACCAUAAACUAUGCCGACUAGGGAUCGGACGAUGUUAAUUUUUUAAUGACUCGUUCGGCGCCUUACGGGAAACCAAAGUGUUUGGG
rnacentral:rRNA from 1 species